UACGUAGGGGGCAAGCGUUGUCCGGAAUUAUUGGGCGUAAAGAGCGUGUAGGCGGUCCGGUAAGUCAGCUGUGAAAGUCAAGGGCUCAACCCUUGAAUGCCGGUUGAUACUGCAAAUCUCGAGUCCGGAAGAGGUGAGUGGAAUUCCUAGUGUAGAGGUGAAAUUCGUAGAUAUUAGGAAGAACACCAGUGGCGAAGGCGGCUCACUGGUCCGGUACUGACGCUGAGGUGCGAAAGCGUGGGGAGCAAACAGG
rnacentral:rRNA from 1 species